CCUGGACUGAAGAAAAGGCAAGCGGAUCCCAGCACCCACGUGCUGACAACCAGCAAAUGUUUUUGUAGCUCCAGACUGACCCAGUCUGACGUCUGGUGGUGGUGACAGCGCCACAGGAGGCACAAGGGGAGCUGGAAUUCCUGUGUAGUAGGGAAGGGAGAUGUGGGACAAAGGACAUGAAUCCAUAGGAAACCAGGCUUGAGACAACAGAACCGAGGGAAAGCAAAUGAGCUGGAUGUGAUUCCAUGUUGUGUAUGCACACACUGAGGGCAGAACCUGAAGACAGCGUUGUGCAAUGUAAACAAGGCAUACAUCUGUCCUGCAGAGCCCUCACAACCGGUGAUCUGAGAGGGAAGGAAUCUGAUGGAUUUCUGAAGCAUGGGAUGAGCCUGCAGCACUGACAGGAAGAACAGGAUCUCUUUGUUUUCUCACGCUGCUUCAAGUUCAGACAAGAAGCUUUUUAGGCAGUUGCAUAAUGAAGAAAGAAAACAACAACAAAGGAAGCCAGAACCAAACUUGAGGGACAGGCCUAGCACACAGCACAGACACUGAUACAGCACAAGGCCCAGCGUACCACUGCUGUCCCAUCCAUGCUGAGGAAAAGCGGUGUUUUCAAGUGCCAGCCAGCCUUUCAGAAGCUGCUUUAUUAAUUCCUGCCUGCUGCUUUAUUAAUUCCUGCCACUAGACCACCCCACAUCCAGCCAUUAGCACUGUGGAAGUAUUUGACACUUCAUGCAAUGAAAGGCACGGAAGGCCCAACCAGCAGCCCUGCGCUUGGUUCUGCGCCAUCUCAAUAAAUGCUAUUAAUGAUCAGUUUUCCAACUUUUGGCCAAAUCUCAUCUCAGUGUUAUUUGCCUUGAGUUGUGAAAGUUGACAAAAUACUGAAGAAAGCCUCCCAUCUUUUCUGUCCCAGGGGUGCUGUGGCUCAAUGACAUCCAAUCUCCUCUUUUGCAGCUGACCUAAUUCCUUCCAUUCUUCAGAACAAACUUUUUCCAGGCUCUUUUGUUCACAGAAUGUGUUAGUGAUCCAAGGUGUCUUGGAGAAAAGAAAAAAUAAAAUAAGAGUAAUGAAAAAUAGCCUUUUGUUCCUGGUAUGUAGUUGUUUUAAUGUAGCGGCGUGUGUCUGGUGGAGGAACAGAGAAACCUAAUUUUAGGGCUUUCUGAUGUAGUUCACCUUGCUUUUAUGUGUUUUGAGGCUAUAGUAAAGCCUGUGUUGCACGUGUACAGUGACUAAUGAAU